rnacentral:rRNA from 1 species
AGAGCGAACGCUGGCGGCAGGCCUAACACAUGCAAGUCGAGCGCCGUAGCAAUACGGAGCGGCAGACGGGAGAGUAACACGUGGGAACGUACCUUUUGGUUCGGAACAACUGAGGGAAACUUCAGCUAAUACCGGAUAAGCCCUUACGGGGAAAGAUUUAUCGCCAAAAGAUCGGCCCGCGUCUGAUUAGCUAGUUGGUGAGGUAACGGCUCACCAAGGCGACGAUCAGUAGCUGGUCUGAGAGGAUGAUCAGCCUCACUGGGACUGAGACACGGCCCAGACUCCUACGGGAGGCAGCAGUGGGGAAUAUUGGACAAUGGGCGCAAGCCUGAUCCAGCCAUGCCGCGUGGGUGAUGAAGGCCCUAGGGUUGUAAAGCCCUUUCGGCGGGGAAGAUAAUGACGGUACCCGCAGAAGAAGCCCCGGCUAACUUCGUGCCAGCAGCCGC